UCCAGCUGUAAUUUGGCCUAGACCAGGAAGGUCAAGAGUCAGUGUGAAGAGCACCGCAGCCUCCUGCCCCGCAGCAUAACACCAAGCGGCAUAAAAGGAGAACCCAGCUCGAGGCUUUUAAAAAGGAAAAAAAAAAAAAAAUAAGCAGGCCCUAUGUAUAUCAUCAUGCUGUGUAUCAUCAGAUGAAGCACAUGUUCUUGAGAGUGUGUCUGCCAUUACUAAAAGGUGUCCAGCAGAUUCCAUACAGACCUCUCCAUGCAUUCAUGCUCAUUUGGUGACCUGGUGGAGGAGACAGAGGCGGCGAGUUGAGCAGGCUGUAUAGUU